AUCUCAGGUCACACAUUAGCUGUCUCUCUCUCUAUCUCAGGUCACACAUUAGCUGUCUCUCUCUCUAUCUCAGGUCACACAUUAGCUGUCUCUCUCUCUAUCUCAGGUCACACAUUAGCUGUCUCUCUCUCUCUCUCAGGUCACACAUUAGCUGUCUCUCUCUCUAUCUCAGGUCACACAUUAGCAGUCUCUCUCUCUAUCUCAGGUCACACAUUAGCAGUCUCUCUCUAUCUCAGGUCACACAUUAGCUGUCUCUCUCUCUAUCUCAGGUCACACAUUAGCUGUCUCUAUCUCUAUCUCAGGUCACACAUUAGCUGUCUCUCUCUAUCUCAGGUCACACAUUAGCAGUCUCUCUCUAUCUCAGGUCACACAUUAGCUGUCUCUCUCUCUAUCUCAGGUCACACAUUAGCUGUCUCUCUCUCUAUCUCAGGUCACACAUUAGCUGUCUCUCUCUCUCUCAGGUCACACAUUAGCUGUCUCUCUCUCUAUCUCAGGUCACACAUUAGCUGUCUCUCUCUCUAUCUCAGGUCACACAUUAGCAGUCUAUCUCAGGUCACACAUUAGCAGUCUAUCUCAGGUCACACAUUAGCAGUCUAUCUCAGGUCACACAUUAGCAGUCUCUCUCUCUAUCUCAGGUCACACAUUAGCUGUCUCUCUCUCUAUCUCAGGUCACACAUUAGCUGUCUCUCUCUCUAUCUCAGGUCACACAUUAGCUGUCUCUCUCUCUCUCUAUCUCAGGUCACACAUUAGCAGUCUCUCUCUCUAUCUCAGGUCACACAUUAGCUGUCUCUCUCUAUCUCAGGUCACACAUUAGCUGUCUCUCUCUCUAUCUCAGGUCACACAUUAGCUGUCUCUCUCUCAUGUCACACAUUAGCUGUCUCUCUCUCUAUCUCAGGUCACACAUUAGCAGUCUCUCUCUCUAUCUCAGGUCACACAUUAGCAGUCUCUCUCUCUCUAUCUCAGGUCACACAUUAGCAGUCUCUCUCUCUAUCUCAGGUCACACAUUAGCUGUCUCUCUCUCUAUCUCAGGUCACACAUUAGCUGUCUCUCUCUCUAUCUCAGGUCACACAUUAGCUGUCUCUCUCUCUAUCU